UACGAGGGGGGCAAGCGUUGUUCGGAAUUAUUGGGCGUAAAGGGUGCGUAGGCGGUCGGGUAAGUCUGAUGUGAAAUCUCACAGCUUAACUGUGAAACUGCAUUGGAUACUAUCCGGCUCGAGGAAUGGAGGGGAGACUGGAAUACUUGGUGUAGCAGUGAAAUGCGUAGAUAUCAAGCGGAACACCAGUGGCGAAGGCGAGUCUCUGGACAUUUCCUGACGCUGAGGCACGAAAGCCAGGGGAGCAAACGGG
rnacentral:rRNA from 1 species